CCAUCGUGUAAGGCCACCAUCCCCUUCUCUCUCCCUUCUUUCAUCUCCCCUCCCCAUCUGGAUCCUCCGCCGCCGGUUCCCCAUUGCUGCCUCCAUCGCCCCCACUCCUCGCCGGUUCCCCAUUGCUGCCUCCACCGCCCCCGCUCCUCGCCGGUUACCCAUUGCUGCCUCCACCGCCCCCGCUCCGAGGAGGGCCACGACGGCCGGAUCCUGGACUCGUUGUCGCGCGCCAGGGCAAAGGUGGAGAUUAGGAAUUCUGCUGCCACGGACGACGACAUGGCUAACCAUCAGUUGGUCUCCUACCACGAGCUCGCUCGUGCUACCGAAAACUUCAGUGAUGCUAACCUGCUGGGGUCUGGAAGCUUUGGGAAGGUUUUUAAGGGCCAGCUGAGCAAUGGCCUGGUGGUUGCCGUAAAGGUCAUACACAUGCAUAUGGAGCAAGCUGCUGCAAGGUUUGACGCAAAGUGUUGUGUGCUUCGAAUGGCUCGGCAUCGCAACCUGAUAAGGAUACUGAACACCUGUUCCAACCUGCACUUCAGAGCGCUGGUGCUCCAGUACAUGCCCAACGGGAGCUUAGAGGAGCUCUUGCGCUCCGUCAACGGAGGAAUGCGACUAGGGUUCGUUGAGAGGCUGGACAUCGUGCUAGAUGUGUCCAUGGCAAUGGAGUAUCUGCACCACGAGCACUGCGAGGUGGUCCUACACUGCGACUUGAAGCCUAGCAAACUAAGGCAUGAGACAUUGAAGCAGCAGCUGUGCCGAAAGCUAAUAAAUGGUGUAUCAGUGCAUAACCAUGUUCCUGGGCAGAGUUCUGUUAUACCUCCAGAGACAAAUUCCAUCUCCAUGCAUGACUUAAAGGCAGAAAUAGAGUUAAACCCUUGUUUGCUUGGGAUUAAUGCAUCACUGCUACACGAAAAGAUCAAUUCAUAUGACUAGUAGGAUGGAGCUAGUUGUAUUCAUCUCGUCACAAGAUCCUAUGAUCUUGAUGGUCUGUCUUGUUUCAUGGCUGUUGUAAUCAAGCCAUAAGUUUACUGAUGGGUGGCGGUGAAGGCAAGCGCAUUCUGUGCAGUACCCUGAUUGUUUUGCAUGUCAUCUCUAGUGCAAUCUUCCAAAAUGAACAAAAAACUGUGUAUCUGCUGGGUGCAGUACUAAAAUAAUUCAUUUCAUCCACCUAAGGAGUAAGGACUACGAUGGGCGAAAGUGCUCCAGAGAUAACUAUGUUGCUGGACUCCAGACAAAUUGAGGAACCAUAUCAAAGAUUUGAUCUCCAAAUGAAAGCCUGUAUGAGCAGAAGCCCGAAGAAACAGCUCCUGUCCUGCCAUAUCUUGUUUCUCUGCACUUGGUUGCGGCCUGUGGUACUGGUCGACUAUGGCGGCACAAUGCCUCAGCUACAAGAAAAUCUUUGUGGACUGCUAUAUCUUGCCCGACAGUUCAAGCUCUGCAAGGUGAGGUCUGUUUAGUUUGGCCAGAAAGGCAUCCCCUACCUGAACACCUACGACGGCCGCACCAUCCGCUACCCCGAUCCUCUCAUCAAGGCCAACGACACCAUCAAGAUUGAUCUGGAGACCAACAAUAUCAUGGACUUCAUCAAGUUGUAUUUGCCCAUGGACUUCAUCAAGUUAUAUACUUAGUUAGGCUCAAUGUUAGCACAAACAGUUGAUGAGCAAGUUUAAAUUUAGAGUACACUUAUGUAUGAGUUAUUUGACAAUGCUUAUUUAUGAGAUAUUGAAUGUUAUUUAUCU